CCCGUAAGGGUGAUGAAGGGCACUGGAAGACCAACAGUUUGAUAGGUUUGAAGUGUAAGACCAGUAAUGGUUUAAGCUUACAAAUACUAAUCGCCCGUUCGGCUUGACCAUAAAA
rnacentral:rRNA from 1 species